rnacentral:rRNA from 1 species
AUUGAACGCUGGCGGCAGGCCUAACACAUGCGAGUCGAACGGUAACAGGAAGCAGCUUGCUGCUUUGCUGACGAGUGGCGGACGGGUGAGUAAUGUCUGGGAAACUGCCUGAUGGAGGGGGAUAACUACUAGAAACGGUAGCUAAUACCGCAUAACGUCGCAAGACCAAAGAGGGGGACCUUAGGGCCUCUUGCCAUCGGAUGUGCCCAGAUGGGAUUAGCUAGUAGGUGGGGUAACGGCUCACCUAGGCGACGAUCCCUAGCUGGUCUGAGAGGAUGACCAGCCACACUGGAACUGAGACACGGUCCAGACUCCUACGGGAGGCAGCAGUGGGGAAUAUUGCACAAUGGGCGCAAGCCUGAUGCAGCCAUGCCGCGUGUAUGAAGAAGGCCUUCGGGUUGUAAAGUACUUUCAGCGGGGAGGAAGGGAGUAAAGUUAAUACCUUUGCUCAUUGACGUUACCCGCAGAAGAAGCACCGGCUAACUCCGUG